CUCGGGGCGGGGUCUCCCUCAGCCUGGAUUGCAAGAGGGCACAGACCAGGCUAAGGGACCCCACCGGUGCACG
rnacentral:pre_miRNA from 1 species